GGCAGGAAAUUUGCAUACCCGCUCGGGAUUGGCUGUGGAAGAGUCGCUUUGCAUCGACCAAUCCGUAAGCGCGUAGCAGAGUCACCACCAGGAGGCCUGUGCAAAUCUGCCCAGCAACCGGCUGAAAAUAGAGCCGAGAGCACGGUGCGUCACAAGGCUGGGUGUGACGCGAGGCCUCUUCGCCUGUGACGUCGUGUACGUGUAAAUAGAACGUGCCGAGCGCCCUGGUUCACAAUCGUUACACUGCGAUGCUGCUGUCACAGAGGGACAAAUGCAUGACUGCCGCAAGCACAAGAAAUAAUGUCCCUGCCUCUACCAACAAUUCUUCAUUUUUUAAAGCAAGCAUUAACAGAAACUCAUUCUUACUCAUUGUGGUUUAUAUACCAUGUAGCUUUGGUGAUGUAAAUGGAAAUUGAGUCAUUUACUCCACUGCAGUGGAUGUAUCUGAAUCUUCAUUAAAUGUGGACUCUUACCCCUGAAGUUAGACCUUGGUGUGCCACAGAUCAUGACAGGGAAACCACAAAAGUUCAUCCUCCCAAACUAGAGAGUGCUGGACUUGGAAAGGUGAGAAGGCCAAGAAAUGAAACCAUAAAUAGACAAUUUGGAAUUUAAAGAGAAGACAAAAUCCAGACUCUUCAGAUUCACAGCACACUGACAAGGAACAACAGAUACAGCCUGCAACAGUGGAAAUCCCACACUGAUGCAGAGAAUGAUUUUUUGCGAUGAAGGUGAUCAAAUACUGAAACACUUUGUCCAGAGAGGUGGUGGAAUCUUUAUCCUCACAGAUUUUCAGACCUUACAUUGACAAACUCUGAAAUAACCUCAUCUAAUUUUAAGAUUACCAUCCCUUGAAGACAUCAGAUUAGAGAUUCAUUCCAAUCUAAAUUAUUCUAGAACAUGAAAGAUAAACCACAUUUCAGAUGACCAUGAACAGCUGUCACACUAAGAAAUGAAGAGUACCUCUAUCAGUUUAUCCUCACAAAUCCUUAAGUUAUGACCAAGGAGCGGUGUACUAACAGCUUAUUGGCUUCACUGUACAGGGAAGACUGCAACAGCUUUAUGUUUCAAUGGUGGCAGUGUUGGAAUACUGCAAAGCUGUGCCUCACAAACGCUCAAAGGAACAGAAGGAAUACCACAUGCAAGUUUGUCAGAAUCAUUGUGAGACUGAAGGUGACAGUUCACUGAAUUGACAUAAUUACUGGUGACUAGAUGUGGUGUCACCACCACCAGACAGUCGAAACAAAACUCCAUGGAAUGGUGACAGACGUGAAUUCCCUAUCAAAGAACAAGUUCAAGAUGCAGUCCUCAGCAGGUAAAGUGAUGUGCACUAUCUUUUGGGAUAGAAAAGGCGUGAUCCUUCUCGAUUUCCUGGAAUGAAGACAAAUCAUCAAUUCUAACCACUAAGCUGAAGGCUCAGACUUUCAGACUGAGGCUGAAGAAGACAGCCACCUUACUCUUGCAAUAUCAGGCCCCACACCAGUUUAAAGGAUUCACAGCCGUUCAAGGUCCCAUGCCUGUUUAAACCUGUGAAACACACUGACAUUUUUUGUUGGACUGUGCUACUACUGCCACUCUACAGUCUGGAUUUGGAGCAUUCUGACUUCCAUUUGUUCAGAUCAAUAAACAAUGGACUGUGUGGGGAACAUUUUCCUAGCAACGAUGCUGUUAUAGCAACUGUGACUCAGUGGGGUCACCUCCACUAGUGCGAAUUUUUACAAGCACGGCAUUGCAGGUUCUUGUUAAUCGUUGGCAAAAAAAUUAAUAGCUAAUGGUGGUGACUACAUUGAAAAAUACUGUUUUGUAGCUGAGAAUUUCCUCUACCAAAUACUGUUCCUGUGCUGUUUUCAUAGAAAUAAACAGACAUUACUUUCGGAGCAACCAAAAUAUUCUAUGUUCAUUAUACAGAGAGUUUUCAUGUCUUUUCCUGAUAUAUGUAUUUUUAAUAUUACUAAAAUCUUACGGACAAGACCGUAACCUGUACUGAUUUGGACUUCAUAUCAUCAGUAUAUCCAAGGCAGCUUAAGAGAAUAAAAUACAUUACUUUCUUA